rnacentral:lncRNA from 1 species
UCCGCUCGCCCCGGGAGGGAGCCCGCGGCCAGGGCUGGACUCUCGCCCCGCCACCUCCACCGACUCUCUCCUCAGCCUCCGCGCCUGGCACCGCAGCAAGACUUGAAUGAAGUGAUCAUGUAAACUAGAGAAAGGAGAUUAAAAAUAACCUCUGGAUAUUCCUCUCAUGUGAUCUUUAUUCUGGAUGAAGCAUUAGGACAGCUAAUAGCCGUGUGUCACUUAAAAAUCCAACUUGAGAACUGUCACCAAAGAUGUCUAGGAACUUUGAAGAAACAUGAAGGGGAUGGAUGAGGAAGACCCAGAGGAAAAUUCCAGAGGUGAUGGGUUCUGGAAGUAAAAAUUGAUAGGGAAGAUGAAGAAAUGCAUACAUAUUCAAGAUCUCGCUAAAGGGUAAGCUUUGGGUGAGAAACAAAUGAGAAAGCAAAGCCAUAGAUGGUUCUAUCAUUAAUGGUGAUAUAGAAAACCUUAGAAUCCAGUACAUAGAAGGUGGAGUUCAAGAGCUCCAUUUGAGCCUGUUAGGUUUGAAGGGAGUUCAAGAGCUCCAUUUGAGCCUGUUGGGUUUGAAAGAAUUAUUGGAUAUUUAAAUGAAGAAGUCAGGUAAGCACGCUAUUUUGGUCUAGUGCUGUGAGAGUGAUAUGACAGUAUGUGUCAUUAAGCGGUAUUUCAAUGUGGAAAACAUAACAGACAAGAGAACAGACCUCAGGACUGAAUGAACUCUGAGGCUCUCCAGCAAAGGCCCAGGAGGAGAAAAAGCAAAAACAGGAGCUGGGGUGGAAGGAAAAUUUGAAGAGCGCAGACAGUCUCUCAAAAAUUGCUUUAGUGUUUCAGGCAAGACGAAGUAGUCAAAUAUGUUGAGAAAUUGGAAAAAUGUUAAAAAUGCCCAUUGGAAUUGGCAAGAUGAAGUCCCAGGUAUCACUGACAGUGAUGGUGAAGAUGAGGAAGGAGAAGCCGUCAGUGUGUUGUUGAAGAAUGAAUCGAGGAAGGGGGUGUUUGUGUGGGUAUGUAUGUGUACUGGAGCAACAAACCUAGACAAUUUUUUAUUGAGAAAUUUUAAUACUGGAUGCAUCUGAGCACACUUUUAGGUGUGCUUGAAACCAUUCAGGAGGGAGGGGAAGCUUAGUGAUGCAGGGAAGAGGAGUAAAUGAAGGAGGAAGCUUCUCAAAAAAGCUAGAAGGAACUUCAGAGUGUAUGAAAAAUUUGAUUUUUUUUUUUUUUUUUUUUGAGAUGGAGC